rnacentral:rRNA from 1 species
UACGGGGGGGGCAAGCGUUGUUCGGAAUUACUGGGCGUAAAGGGCUCGUAGGCGGCCAACUAAGUCAGACGUGAAAUCCCUCGGCUUAACCGGGGAACUGCGUCUGAUACUGGAUGGCUUGAGUUCGGGAGAGGGAUGCGGAAUUCCAGGUGUAGCGGUGAAAUGCGUAGAUAUCUGGAGGAACACCGGUGGCGAAGGCGGCAUCCUGGACCGACACUGACGCUGAGGAACGAAAGCCAGGGGAGCAAACGGG